GCCUUUGUGAUGUAAUGGUCAGCACACUGAGCCGGUAUUUCAGAGGUCCGUGGUUCGAUCCCCGGCGAAGGCA
rnacentral:tRNA from 1 species